rnacentral:rRNA from 1 species
GACGAGCCGUGCGAACGUUGUUCGGAUUCACUGGGCUUAAAGGGCGCGUAGGCGGGCACUCAAGUCAGGGGUGAAAUCUUUCGGCUUAACCGGAAAAGUGCCUCUGAUACUGGGUGUCUCGAGGGAGGUAGGGGCGUGUGGAACUUCCGGUGGAGCGGUGAAAUGCGUAGAUAUCGGAAGGAACGCCGGUGGCGAAAGCGACGCGCUGGACCUCUUCUGACGCUGAGGCGCGAAAGCCAGGGGAG